rnacentral:rRNA from 1 species
CAGUAGCCGCGGGAAUACGAAGGGUGCAAGCGUUAAUCGGAUUUACUGGGCGUAAAGCGUGCGUAGGCGGCUUCUUAAGUCGGAUGUGAAAUCCCUGAGCUUAACUUAGGAAUUGCAUUCGAUACUGGGAAGCUAGAGUAUGGGAGAGGAUGGUAGAAUUCCAGGUGUAGCGGUGAAAUGCGUAGAGAUCUGGAGGAAUACCGAUGGCGAAGGCAGCCAUCUGGCAUAAUACUGACGCUGAGGUACGAAAGCAUGGGGAGCAAACAGGAUUAGAUACCCCUGUAGUCCCUGUCUCUUAUAC